GUGGUAUUGGGCGGAACCCUACCUCUUUGCGAUGGGGGUGUUGAAGGCGGCCGCCUUCCCGAUGUUCGUGCUCGCGGUGCCAUAC
rnacentral:tRNA from 1 species